rnacentral:rRNA from 1 species
GACAGAGGUCUCAAGCGUUGUUCGGAUUCAUUGGGCGUAAAGGGUGUGUAGGUGGCGCGCUAAGUCGGGUGUGAAAUUUCGGAGCUUAACUCCGAAACUGCAUUCGAUACUGGCGUGCUUGAGGACUGGAGAGGAGACUGGAAUUCCUGGUGUAGCGGUGGAAUGCGCAGAUAUCAGGAAGAACACCCGUGGCGAAAGCGGCUCUCUGGAACGGUACUGACGCUGAGACGCGAAAGCGUGGGGAGCGAACAGG